AAAUUUCAAAGUUCGUCCUUUAUGUAUGUCUAAUAUAUCAAAGUAUGUCCUUUAUCUUUAAUAAGCUCAGAAAACAUCCUUAAUGUUUGAAAAACCAAUCAGGUUAUGUCCUUUACCCUAAACCUAGUUUGUUUUCCCAGUUAAAUCAGGUCACGUGAGAAGCACAUGAGGGUAUAUUGGUCUUUACCUUAAUACUAGAAAAAUAAAAUUAUAAAAAAUUCAAAUCUUCAUAAUCUGCACAUUAUAUCUUCAAAACUGCACAUUAUAUCUUCAAAACUUCAAACAAAACCCAGAUCUUCAAAACACAAAGAAAAAAAAUAUUCAAAACUUAUCCUAAAUCCAAUCUCACAAAACAAAAAUGCAGAUGUAAGAUCCUGAUACCUCAUUUUCUUCACAUACAAACACACAUACAUAUGAUACACCCCUCUGCCUUACCCUCUACCUCUCAAUUUCCUUUGGCAGACGACAAGAGGUGAGGAGUUCCGACCGGCUCCCCUCUCCGACAACACCCACCAGCAGACGAACCACCCUCUUCCCUCUGCUCCGUCAAUUUCAGACAAGAGGAGGGGUCGGUGAAGGUGGAUGAUGUUGAUGUUGAAGACAGAUGAUGAUGAUGGAUUGUUAGAUAGAGAGAAGAAGGGGGUAUGUUGAUGUGCAGGUGAUU
rnacentral:lncRNA from 1 species